rnacentral:rRNA from 1 species
AUUCGCCCGCCGCGCCCCGCGCCCGUCCCGCCGCCCCCGCCCGCUCCUACGGGAGGCAGCAGUGAGGAAUAUUGGUCAAUGGGCGGGAGCCUGAACCAGCCAAGCCGCGUGAGGGAAUAAGGCCCUACGGGUCGUAAACCUCUUUUGUCGGGGAACAAAAGCGGGGACGCGUCCCCGUCUGCGUGUACCCGAAGAAAAAGCAUCGGCUAACUCCGUGCCAGCAGCCGCGGUAAUACAAUCCAUAUGACUAG